CGUUAAGCACUCCGCCUGGGGACUACGGUCGCAAGACUAAAACUCAAAGGAAUUGACGGGGACCCGCACAAGCGGUGGAGCAUGUGGUUUAAUUCGAUGCAACGCGAAAAACCUUACCACUCCUUGACAUGAAGAUUAGAUCCUCCUUAACAGGAGGGCGCAGUUUCGGCUGGGUCUUGCACAGGUGCUGCAUGGCUGUCGUCAGCUCGUGUCGUGAGAUGUUGGGUUAAGUCCCGCAACGAGCGUAACCCUCAUCCUUAGUUGCCAGCGGGUAAUGCCGGGGACUUUAAGGGAACUGCCAGUGGUAAGCUGGAGGAAGGUGGGGACGAUGUCAAGUCAGCAUGGCCCUUAUGGGGUGGGCUACACACGUGCUACAAUGGUGACUACAA
rnacentral:rRNA from 1 species